rnacentral:misc_RNA from 1 species
UCUCUCAUACCUGUUUUCUGACCUACCAUGAACAAUUUUAGUAAAACUCUUGAAUAAUAAUAAAAAAUGAAAAUUUGAUUAAAAAAAGAAAAAGUGGCAAGAAUGUAUAAUGAAAAUAUUUUAUUUCAUAAGCACAAUAAGUAACCAAUUCUACAUGUUCUCUGGGGAGAUUUGUCACUAUAAGUGCUUUAAUAUUUUUAAUUUUUAACUUGAAGGUUACUUUUUAAUGCUAACUUCAUAAAAAAUGGGCAUGGUACGAGCAUACAUACAUAUAUACAGAGCUCAAUGACAAAAAAUUAUAC